rnacentral:rRNA from 1 species
UACGUAGGCAGCGAGCGUUGUUCGGAAUUACUGGGCGUAAAGGGUGCGUAGGCGGCGCGGUAAGUCGGAUGUGAAAUCUCGGAGCUUAACUCCGAAACUGCAUUCGAUACUGCCGUGCUUGAGGACUGGAGAGGAGACUGGAAUUUACGGUGUAGCGGUGAAAUGCGUAGAUAUCGUAAGGAAGACCAGUGGCGAAGGCGGGUCUCUGGACAGUUCCUGACGCUGAGGCACGAAGGCCAGGGGAGCAAACGGG